rnacentral:rRNA from 1 species
UGCAAGUCGAACGAACUCUGGUAUUGAUUGGUGCUUGCAUCAUGAUUUACAUUUGAGUGAGUGGCGAACUGGUGAGUAACACGUGGGAAACCUGCCCAGAAGCGGGGGAUAACACCUGGAAACAGAUGCUAAUACCGCAUAACAACUUGGACCGCAUGGUCCGAGUUUGAAAGAUGGCUUCGGCUAUCACUUUUGGAUGGUCCCGCGGCGUAUUAGCUAGAUGGUGGGGUAACGGCUCACCAUGGCAAUGAUACGUAGCCGACCUGAGAGGGUAAUCGGCCACAUUGGGACUGAGACACGGCCCAAACUCCUACGGGAGGCAGCAGUAGGGAAUCUUCCACAAUGGACGAAAGUCUGAUGGAGCAACGCCGCGUGAGUGAAGAAGGGUUUCGGCUCGUAAAACUCUGUUGUUAAAGAAGAACAUAUCUGAGAGUAACUGUUCAGGUAUUGACGGUAUUUAACCAGAAAGCCACGGCUAACUACGUGCCAGCAGCCGCGGUAAUACGUAGGUGGCAAGCGUUGUCCGGAUUUAUUGGGCGUAAAGCGAGCGCAGGCGGUUUUUUAAGUCUGAUGUGAAAGCCUUCGGCUCAACCGAAGAAGUGCAUCGGAAACUGGGAAACUUGAGUGCAGAAGAGGACAGUGGAACUCCAUGUGUAGCGGUGAAAUGCGUAGAUAUAUGGAAGAACACCAGUGGCGAAGGCGGCUGUCUGGUCUGUAACUGACGCUGAGGCUCGAAAGUAUGGGUAGCAAACAGGAUUAGAUACCCUGGUAGUCCAUACCGUAAACGAUGAAUGCUAAGUGUUGGAGGGUUUCCGCCCUUCAGUGCUGCAGCUAACGCAUUAAGCAUUCCGCCUGGGGAGUACGGCCGCAAGGCUGAAACUCAAAGGAAUUGACGGGGGCCCGCACAAGCGGUGGAGCAUGUGGUUUAAUUCGAAGCUACGCGAAGAACCUUACCAGGUCUUGACAUACUAUGCAAAUCUAAGAGAUUAGACGUUCCCUUCGGGGACAUGGAUACAGGUGGUGCAUGGUUGUCGUCAGCUCGUGUCGUGAGAUGUUGGGUUAAGUCCCGCAACGAGCGCAACCCUUAUUAUCAGUUGCCAGCAUUAAGUUGGGCACUCUGGUGAGACUGCCGGUGACAAACCGGAGGAAGGUGGGGAUGACGUCAAAUCAUCAUGCCCCUUAUGACCUGGGCUACACACGUGCUACAAUGGAUGGUACAACGAGUUGCGAACUCGCGAGAGUAAGCUAAUCUCUUAAAGCCAUUCUCAGUUCGGAUUGUAGGCUGCAACUCGCCUACAUGAAGUCGGAAUCGCUAGUAAUCGCGGAUCAGCAUGCCGCGGUGAAUACGUUCCCGGGCCUUGUACACACCGCCCGUCACACCAUGAGAGUUUGUAACACCCAAAGUCGGUGGGGUAACCUUUUAGGAACCAG